AUGUACUACAUAGAAGGUGUUACUAAAAAGACUACUAAGACGUGUUGCAAUAAGAAUAAAAAAUGUUUUUUUAUUUUAAACAAAUGUUUUAUUGUUUUUUUUAACAAAGAUUAUAUUCAACUGAGUGCUGGUCUUUUAAUUAAAAAAUAUAGAUAUAUUUGAUGUGAUCGACUGCCUGGUCAUGUGUCUAGCCAAUGAGUGACAAGGAGUUGGCAUGGUAACACAGACAGACUGGCACCCUUUACCUUAUUUCCACUAGAGGAUAAGAGUUCAAAUCAAAUCAAAUCAAAUGUAUUUAUAUAGCCCUUCGUACAUCAGCUGAUAUCUCAAAGUGCUGUACAGAAACCCAGCCUAAAACCCCAAACAGCAAGCAAUGCAGGUGUAGAAGCACGGUGGCUCGGAAAAACUCCCUAGAAAGUUGUGGACGUUCUCUCCUUUUCUUUACCUGGUAGUUGCAGAACAUGAGGAGAGGCACCAGGACUGUCCGGGAGAGGACCAGGGCGGGGAGGACUCUACUGGUGGGGCCUGGGACCUGCAGCCAGGCCGUGGCCUGGCGACCACAGAAGUCAGCCACGUUGUAGAGGAAGAAGCUGGAGAGAAGAUAAUGACUACAUUAUUCCCCCAUGGUCCAUAUUCAUAAAGAGUCUCAGUGGUGGUGAUCUAGGAUCAGGUCAUGAGUCUCAGAGUAGGUGAUCUAGGAUCAGGUCAUAAUUAGUCUCAGAGUAGGUGAUCUAGGAUCAGGUCAUAAUGAGUCUCGGUGGUGGUAAUCUAGGAUCAGGUCAUGAGUCUCAGAGUAGGUGAUCUAGGAUCAGGUCAUAAAACUUUUCAGUAGGAGUUGUGAUCUAGGAUCAGGUCAUAAUGAGUCUCAGAGUAGGUGAUCUAGGAUCAGGUCAUAAAGAGUCUCAGAAAGAGUGGUGAUCUAGGAUCAGGUCAUGAAGAGUCUCAGCAAGAGUGGUGAUCUAGGAUCAGGUUCUCCCUGUCCAUGUAAUCAAUUUCAUUAUGAUCUAAAAAGCCAAAACUGAUCCUAGAUCAGCCCUCCUCUGUAACGCUUUCAUAGCAUAUCAAGCAUACAUAUAGGAAGCAUAGAUACACGAAGACCGCAUUCAACCAGCUGUAGAAGGCCAUAAGCAAACAAGAACAUGGUCAUCCAGCUCUUAGUGACAGGGGACUUUAAUGCUGUAAAACUUAAAUCUGUUUUACCUCAUUUCUAUCAGCAUGUCACAUGUGGAGCAAAACUCUAGACCACCUUUACUCCACACACAGAGACGCAUACAAAACUCUCUCUCGCUCUCCAUUUGGCAAAUAUGUCCAUAACUCUAUCCUCCUGAUUCCUGCUUACAAGCAAAAACUAAAGCAGGAAGUACCAGUGACUCG
rnacentral:lncRNA from 13 species